rnacentral:lncRNA from 1 species
CCAGGACAUAGGAGCACAGAACCAGGACCGUUUUCUUAUCAACCAGCACAGCGUCAGGACAAUUCCGUUUAAACGAAACUUGCACGACUUUGCAAUAUAAUAUUGUUGUAAUAUACUUUGCAUGGUACUUAUGACGUAUCAGAGAAAAAAUAAGCAACAAAACAGUGGUUUUAUUGCCGUUCUGAUACAAUGUAAACAAACCCACCAGCACAGAAUCAGGACCCACCAGCACCUGACAGGACCAAAUCACCAGCACAGAACGUUCUCUCGCAGGACAACCAUACCCAC